rnacentral:rRNA from 1 species
AAUCAACGCUGGCGGCGUGCCUAACACAUGCAAGUCGAACGAGAAAGUGGAGCAAUCCAUGAGUAAAGUGGCGACCGGGUGAGUAACACGUGACUAACCUACCUUCGAGUGGGGGAUAACCUAGGGAAACCUGGGCUAAUACCGCAUAACAUCUUUGGAUCGGAAGAACUGAAGAUCAAAGGAGCAAUUCGCUUGAAGAGGGGGUCGCGGCUGAUUAGCUAGUUGGCGGGGUAAUGGCCCACCAAGGCUUUGAUCGGUAGCCGGCCUGAG